GCCAGAAUGGAAGUUUAGUUAGAUAGAUCCCCUUGAGCUGGGGAGGAAAUGAGGCUAGGCUUUCUUCAGCAGGUGGUGAAUCAUCCCCACCCUCCCUGGGAACCAGCUGUGCUCUGCACUGGUUAGCAUUAUUGCACUCCUGCUGAUGUUCUGAUGUGAUGAAUAAUGAGAAGGACUACAACACCAACAAAUGCCAAAUGGCUCAAAGAUAUGUUUUGCCUGAUACACAGCAAGCACUCUUACAAACAUUGCCUUUAAAGCUCAAGCAAGCAGCAAAGACUCAGAGAUUCGCAAGGGGGUAGAUCUGGCAGGAAGCUGAGACAGAGCAGCUUGGAAAAGUUUCAGGAUGGGAAAGAGUUGCCAAAGGACGCACUUGUGAACAAAGAAACCAGCUUUAUCUGCAAAUUGAAAAUAAAUGACAAAGAACUUUCCAAACUAUACUGAACACUACAGACGCUGCCUCACUGGAACUGUGCAUCCAAGAAGAGCGUGGUGGUAUACAUAGAGCACUCACAGUACUGAACCUUCCCCUGACUAAGCUCCCAUACUCCCCUGUGGUUGUUUUACUAUUUACAAAACUCUGAAUAAAUUA